GACGAACGCUGGCGGCGUGCUUAACACAUGCAAGUCGAACGGAAAGGCUCCAGCUUUCUGGAGUGCUCGAGUGGCGAACGGGUGAGUAACACGUGGGCAACCUGCCCUUCACUCUGGGAUAAGCCUGGGAAACUGGGUCUAAUACCGGAUAGGACCUCUUGCCUCAUGGGGUGUGGUGGAAAGUUUUGCGGUGGAGGAUUAGCCUGGGGCCUAUCAGCCUGUUGGUGGGGUAAUGGCCUACCAAGGCGACGACGGGUAGCCGGCCUGAGAGGGUGAUCGGCCACAUUGGGACUGAGAUACGGCCCAGACUCCUACGGGAGGCAGCAGUGGGGAAUAUUGCACAAUGGGCGAAAGCCUGACGCAGCGACGCCGCGUGAGGGAUGACGGCCUUCGGGUUGUAAACCUCUUUCAGUAGGGACGAAGCGCAAGUGACGGUACCUGCAGAAGAAGCACCGGCUAACUACGUG
rnacentral:rRNA from 1 species